rnacentral:rRNA from 1 species
GGGUUGUGAGGUUAAGCGACUAAGCGUACACGGUGGAUGCCCUGGCAGUCAGAGGCGAUGAAGGACGUGCUAAUCUGCGAUAAGCGUCGGUGAGGUGAUAUGAACCGUUAUAACCGGCGAUUUCCGAAUGGGGAAACCCAGUGUGUUUCGACACACUAUCAUUAACUGAAUCCAUAGGUUAAUGAGGCGAACCGGGGGAACUGAAACAUCUAAGUACCCCGAGGAAAAGAAAUCAACCGAGAUUCCCCCAGUAGCGGCGAGCGAACGGGGAGGAGCCCAGAGCCUGAAUCAGUGUGUGUGUUAGUGGAAGCGUCUGGAAAGGCGCGCGAUACAGGGUGACAGCCCCGUACACAAAAAUGCACAUAUUGUGAGCUCGAUGAGUAGGGCGGGACACGUGGUAUCCUGUCUGAAUAUGGGGGGACCAUCCUCCAAGGCUAAAUACUCCUGACUGACCGAUAGUGAACCAGUACCGUGAGGGAAAGGCGAAAAGAACCCCGGCGAGGGGAGUGAAAAAGAACCUGAAACCGUGUACGUACAAGCAGUGGGAGCCUCUUAAUGGGGUGACUGCGUACCUUUUGUAUAAUGGGUCAGCGACUUAUAUUCUGUAGCAAGGUUAACCGAAUAGGGGAGCCGAAGGGAAACCGAGUCUUAACUGGGCGUUAAGUUGCAGGGUAUAGACCCGAAACCCGGUGAUCUAGCCAUGGGCAGGUUGAAGGUUGGGUAACACUAACUGGAGGACCGAACCGACUAAUGUUGAAAAAUUAGCGGAUGACUUGUGGCUGGGGGUGAAAGGCCAAUCAAACCGGGAGAUAGCUGGUUCUCCCCGAAAGCUAUUUAGGUAGCGCCUCGUGAAUUCAUCUCCGGGGGUAGAGCACUGUUUCGGCAAGGGGGUCAUCCCGACUUACCAACCCGAUGCAAACUGCGAAUACCGGAGAAUGUUAUCACGGGAGACACACGGCGGGUGCUAACGUCCGUCGUGAAGAGGGAAACAACCCAGACCGCCAGCUAAGGUCCCAAAGUCAUGGUUAAGUGGGAAACGAUGUGGGAAGGCCCAGACAGCCAGGAUGUUGGCUUAGAAGCAGCCAUCAUUUAAAGAAAGCGUAAUAGCUCACUGGUCGAGUCGGCCUGCGCGGAAGAUGUAACGGGGCUAAACCAUGCACCGAAGCUGCGGCAGCGACACUUAUGUGUUGUUGGGUAGGGGAGCGUUCUGUAAGCCUGUGAAGGUGGCCUGUGAGGGUUGCUGGAGGUAUCAGAAGUGCGAAUGCUGACAUAAGUAACGAUAAAGCGGGUGAAAAGCCCGCUCGCCGGAAGACCAAGGGUUCCUGUCCAACGUUAAUCGGGGCAGGGUGAGUCGACCCCUAAGGCGAGGCCGAAAGGCGUAGUCGAUGGGAAACAGGUUAAUAUUCCUGUACUUGGUGUUACUGCGAAGGGGGGACGGAGAAGGCUAUGUUGGCCGGGCGACGGUUGUCCCGGUUUAAGCGUGUAGGCUGGUUUUCCAGGCAAAUCCGGAAAACCAAGGCUGAGGCGUGAUGACGAGGCACUACGGUGCUGAAGCGACAAAUGCCCUGCUUCCAGGAAAAGCCUCUAAGCAUCAGGUAACAUCAAAUCGUACCCCAAACCGACACAGGUGGUCAGGUAGAGAAUACCAAGGCGCUUGAGAGAACUCGGGUGAAGGAACUAGGCAAAAUGGUGCCGUAACUUCGGGAGAAGGCACGCUGAUAUGUAGGUGAAGCGACUUGCUCGUGGAGCUGAAAUCAGUCGAAGAUACCAGCUGGCUGCAACUGUUUAUUAAAAACACAGCACUGUGCAAACACGAAAGUGGACGUAUACGGUGUGACGCCUGCCCGGUGCCGGAAGGUUAAUUGAUGGGGUUAGCGGCAACGCGAAGCUCUUGAUCGAAGCCCCGGUAAACGGCGGCCGUAACUAUAACGGUCCUAAGGUAGCGAAAUUCCUUGUCGGGUAAGUUCCGACCUGCACGAAUGGCGUAAUGAUGGCCAGGCUGUCUCCACCCGAGACUCAGUGAAAUUGAACUCGCUGUGAAGAUGCAGUGUACCCGCGGCAAGACGGAAAGACCCCGUGAACCUUUACUAUAGCUUGACACUGAACAUUGAGCCUUGAUGUGUAGGAUAGGUGGGAGGCUUUGAAGUGUGGACGCCAGUCUGCAUGGAGCCGACCUUGAAAUACCACCCUUUAAUGUUUGAUGUUCUAACGUUGGCCCGUAAUCCGGGUUGCGGACAGUGUCUGGUGGGUAGUUUGACUGGGGCGGUCUCCUCCUAAAGAGUAACGGAGGAGCACGAAGGUUGGCUAAUCCUGGUCGGACAUCAGGAGGUUAGUGCAAUGGCAUAAGCCAGCUUGACUGCGAGCGUGACGGCGCGAGCAGGUGCGAAAGCAGGUCAUAGUGAUCCGGUGGUUCUGAAUGGAAGGGCCAUCGCUCAACGGAUAAAAGGUACUCCGGGGAUAACAGGCUGAUACCGCCCAAGAGUUCAUAUCGACGGCGGUGUUUGGCACCUCGAUGUCGGCUCAUCACAUCCUGGGGCUGAAGUAGGUCCCAAGGGUAUGGCUGUUCGCCAUUUAAAGUGGUACGCGAGCUGGGUUUAGAACGUCGUGAGACAGUUCGGUCCCUAUCUGCCGUGGGCGCUGGAGAACUGAGGGGGGCUGCUCCUAGUACGAGAGGACCGGAGUGGACGCAUCACUGGUGUUCGGGUUGUCAUGCCAAUGGCACUGCCCGGUAGCUAAAUGCGGAAGAGAUAAGUGCUGAAAGCAUCUAAGCACGAAACUUGCCCCGAGAUGAGUUCUCCCUGAGACUUAGAGUCUCCUGAAGGAACGUUGAAGACGACGACGUUGAUAGGCCGGGUGUGUAAGCGCAGCGAUGCGUUGAGCUAACCGGUACUAAUGAACCGUGAGGCUUAACCUUACAACGCCGAAG